CGUUCGUCCCCUAAGGUGCUGGGAUGACAGGCAUGAGCCACCGUGCCCAGCUCAGUAUUUAUCUUUCUGUGACUGUCUUAUUUCAUGUGGCAUAGUGUCCUCAAUGUUCAUCUAUGUUGUUUAAUGGUAUAGAAUUUCCUUAUUUUUUAAGGCUGAAUAGCGUUUCAUUACAUGUUUGUGUUUACUACAUCUUCUUUAUGCGUUUAUCUGUCAGUGGACAUUUAGAUUGUUUUCACAUCUUGGCUAUUGUGUAUAGUGCUGCAAUAAACAUAAGAGUGCAGGUAUCUUGUUGAGAGCCUCAAAUUGAAUUGAUUUCAAUUAUUUUGGACAAUAUCUAGAAGUGGGAUUUUUUGACCAGAUAGUGGUUCUUUAUUUAAGUUUUAGGGGAACCUCCAUUCCAUUUUCCAUCAGCUGCCCCAUUUUGCAUUCCUACCAACAGUGUGCAGGUUCCAAUUCUUCCACAUCCUCGCCAACACUUAUUAUCAUUUAUCUUUUAAUAAUAUGCAUCCUAGUAGAUGUGAAAUUAUGUUUCAUUAUGGUUUUUAUUUGCAUUUUCUGAAGUGACAUCUUUUUAUAUACUUAUUGACCAUUUGCAUAUCUUCUUUGGAGAAAUGUCUAUUCAAGCGCUUAGCCCAUUUUCCCUGUCUAAUUUUUGAUAUUGAGUGAAAGGCCAAAGUGCCUUUGACUUUGAAAAAAUUUUAGUAUCUGGGAGCUCAAAGCGAGUGUAAUUCUGAAAUUACCUCACUUUGCUUCAGACAAUCCAAGGGCAUAAAAAACUGUCAGCAUUUAAAAAGAAGAAAUCCUGACAUAAUCAUCAGAUUUUAGAGAAAAUAAAACCUUAGAGAAUGUCUGAUUCUUUUACAGAUGACAAAAUGGAAAUUUGGAGAAAUUAAGUGACUAGUUGAGGUUACCCAACUACUUAUGGGCAAACGCAAUUCUAGAAGCAGUGUCCUGGAGCAUAUUGAGUCACUUGGGGAGAUAGUAUUAACACUUUAAAUACCAGGUUGUAUUUAGGGGUCAACAUUUUCUUUCCCAUUCUUCUUACAAAGUUUCCACAGAGGAUCUCCUUGAUCAAUGGAGAAGACAAAACAAAGAGACAAUUUGUCAAACGAGGUACUGUUCUUUCCUUCAAGUGACAAAUCUUUGGUGAUAUGUUUGAGCUAACAAGAUUUUGAAUUUUCACUUUUCUGCUUGUUUACAGGUAUCGCUUUACAAAAAAGCACCAUUUGCAAAAUAAACUCAUCUGAAGGCUUCCACAGGGAAUUUCCCCCAAUAAAAGGAGAUAUUAAUUAUUUAAAAUUAGAUCAGUGGAGAGGAUUCUGGGAAUUCAAUGGAGUAGUAAGCACCAGGACUCCAUCGCCCCACCUAGACAAUAAUUGCACUGGUAGAAUGUGUUUGAUGUAAUAAUUUUGAAACUCUGGAGUCUAUUGCAUGCUUCAGACUUCUAAGGGAAAGCUUGGAUAGUAAAUUCUGGUUAAUUUUAGUUAAUUUCAGCUCUUAGCACAGUAGUAGCUAUUCAUCUCCCACUCCCAGCUCUGUGGCAGGCAGCUGUGCAGGUGUUACUGGAGCAGCUUGCACACAGCCUGAUAGAGCCGAAGUGGGGAAAAAAUAUUCUAUCCUCCAAAUGUAGAUCAGUGCUAUGAUUGCUGAUUCCUGCUUCUGACCACGGAGGAAUAGGCAGCAAUAUUUGCUACACAUCGCGCUAUUGUUGACAGCCCUUCCUCCUCCAUCUGAGGUGACCUCUAAGGGAUUUAAAGGGCUAGAGCACCCUUUCUUUUCUCCCCUCUUCUUGUCUUUUCCCAGUUGGGAGGCAGAUAUCAAACACAGGACAGUCACAAACAACUUUAUAUACAGGGAAAGUUAGAAAGUAACUGCUCUUGGCGCAGAGGGAGGCACGGCUCAGAAAAGUUUUAAAAAGACCUUAGGUUUCCAUUUUUAGGUAUAGAGACUGUCUACAGUAUUAAAAAUAAAACCCCCAAACAAUAAUUUUACAAAGUAGAGCCUGGUUUAUAGAAUUAGAGUUAUCAGUUUAUUAGAUUCAAAUGUCCACUUUUCAAAAAAAAAAAAAAAUGACACACACGGAGACACAUUCUAAUCAGACUUUCAGGCUGAAGACAAAGACAGAAUUUUGAAAGCAAGACAGAAGCAACUCAUUGCAUACAAGGGAUCCUCCAUAUGAUUAUCAGCAGAUUUUUAAAAUCAGAAACUUUGGAGGCUAGAAAAUAAUGGGGUGAUAUAUUCAAAGCACUAAAAGAAAAAAAAUCAACAAAUAAUCCUAUGUCUGACAAAACUGUCCUUCAAAAGUGAGGGGAAAACCAUUAAUAACAAAUUUCCAGUUAAACAAAAGGUGAGGAAAUUUUUACUACUAGACCUGCCCUGCAAGAAGUGUAUAAGGGAGCCCUGCAAAGUGAAGUUAAAGGACAGCAGACAGUAACUCAAAGCUAUAUGAAGAAACAAAUGCCUCAAUAAAGGUGAAUACACGGGCCAUUAUGAAAGCAAGUAUUAUCAUAAAAAUGGAUUGUGAUUCUAGUUUUCAUUUUCUAUAUAACUUAAGAGCCUAUUACAUUUGGAAGAAUUAUUAGUUUAUGUUUUUGAGCAGAGAAUGUAUAAGGAUGAAAUUUUGUGACCUCAGCAAUUCAAAGACAUGGAAAUAGAGUUGUAAAAAGCAUAGUUUGUGUAUGAUAUUGUAUUAAACUGGUGUAAAUUCAACAUAAAGUGUUAUAACUUUAGGAUGUUACAUGUAAUUCCUGUGGUAGCUACAAAGAAAAUAGGUAUAGAAUAUACACAAAAAGAAAUGAGAAAGAUACUUAAACAUUACAGUAUUAAGGAUCAACUAAUUAUUAAAAAAACAGUAAUGCAGAAAAUGAGGGUAAAAAAGCCAUAAAGUAUAUAGAAAAUAAAUAACAAAAUGACAGAAGGAAAUCUGUCCUUAUCAGUACCUUAAAUGUAAGUGAAUUAAACUUUAUAUUCAAAAAGCAGGUUAGCAGAAUGAAUGAAGACACAUGAUCCAAGUUCAACAGCAUAUGCAUUCUUCUCAAGAUUGGGACGUGGGACAUUUUUCCAUGAUUCACCGUAUGUUAGGAUUCAGACUCAGUUUCAAUAGAUAUUAAAAAAUAGACAUUAUACAAAGUAUAUUCUCUGACAACAAUGAGAUUAAAUUAAAAAUCAAUGACAGAAGUAAAACUGGAAAACUCAAAAAUUUGUGGAAACAUACAAGCAAUGGAUCAAAGAGGAAAUUACAAAGAAAAUUAGAAAAUACUUAGAGACAAAUGAGAACAAAACUACAACAUGUGAAAACUUAUGAGAUACAAUUAAAGCAGUGUAAGAAGAAAUU